CCAACACUACUAAAUUUGGUCGGACAUAUACAGUAUACGUCACAAGAUAUAUAUAAGUCACGAGACAAGUUUGUAUAGCCAUUCCGGCGCAAUGUUAAGUAAAAUGCUAGAAUGUCUCGUAAAUUUUAUUGCAAAAUGCAAAUUGAGUGAAUUUGCAAUCGGAUUUUGUCACAGCAAAAAAAUGUAUGUGACAAUUUUUUUGUGGUCGGACCAAUGUCCGAUCAAAAUUACUUUUGCUCGGACAUUUGCCAAAUUUAGUCGGACAUUGUCCGAUGUCCGACAGUAAUUUGCAGCCCUG